AUUGAACGCUAGCGGGAUGCCUUACACAUGCAAGUCGAACGGAGUGGCGAACGGGUGAGUAAUGUAUCGGAACGUGCCCAGUAGCGGGGGAUAACUACGCGAAAGCGUAGCUAAUACCGCAUACUAUUGGAGCGGCCGAUAUCGGAAUCGCUAGUUGGAGGGGUAACGGCUCACCAAGGCUACGAUCCGUAGCUGGUUUGAGAGGACGACCAGCCACCCUGGGACUGAGACACGGCCCAGACUCCUACGGGAGGCCGCAGUGGGGAAUUUUGGACACUGUGGGAAACCCUGAUCCAGCCAUCCCGCGUGUGCGAAGAAGGCCUUCGGGUUGUAAAGUACUUUCAGCGAGGAGGCGUUACUCGCAGAAGAAGCACCGGCUAACUCCGUGCCAGCAGCCGCGGUAAUUC
rnacentral:rRNA from 1 species